rnacentral:rRNA from 1 species
UGGCUCAGACGAACGCUGGCGGCAGGCUUAACACAUGCAAGUCGAGCGGGUGUAGUAAUACAUCAGCGGCAGACGGGUGAGUAACGCGUGGGAACGUACCUUUUGGUUCGGAACAACCCAGGGAAACUUGGGCUAAUACCGGAUAAGCCCUUACGGGGAAAGAUUUAUCGCCGAAAGAUCGGCCCGCGUCUGAUUAGCUAGUUGGUGAGGUAAUGGCUCACCAAGGCGACGAUCAGUAGCUGGUCUGAGAGGAUGAUCAGCCACAUUGGGACUGAGACACGGCCCAAAGUCCUACGGGAGGCAGCAGUGGG